UAUCCACACAGACUAAGCAAAUGCAUAUACUAUAUUCCUGGCAUGAGUAGCAGGGCGCUGAAAUGUUGCGCGAUUUUUAACAGAAUGUUCAAAAAAGUAGAGGGUCGACUGAAGAGGUUAAAUGAGACAUCUAGAGCAUUGGAAAGGAAGCUACCUGGAUACUGUAACUAUAAACACAGAGACAGAGAGAAGGGACACGACACAAACAAUGGUAGUCAACGGCAACGGCAGGCUUGUAGGACAUGAAUUACCUGUCCUGAUAAAUAACACCAUGUGAUGUUGACAUCACCUGCAGGGUAAAAGUGCCAAGGAGAAGGUGGUGACCAGGAUCGUCGUGUCUCGCUGUGAGGUGGACCUCAUGAAGAUCAGGACAGAGUUUAAGAAACUGAACCAGAAGUCCUUGUACCAGACCAUCGCUGAGCACACUAAAGGAGACUAUCAGAAGGUCCUGCUGAGUCUGUGUGGAGGAGACGACUAAAGUCCAACUGGCACCAACUGAAGUCCAACUGGCACCAACUGUCACCUUGUCCCAAAACCAAUGCCUUGUUCCUAUUUUGAUUCAGUAUAGUGAAACAGACAUUGAGAACUGGUGCCUUUAUCCACAACACCCAGUAGCAUUAGAGUCAUCAUUACUCAGAUUGCAUCACCUUUCUGUGAAGUAUGAGAUAUCCAACGGAAGAAUUGAUAGUAAAUGUUUUUUUAUGCAACGUUUUUUAUGAAAUUAAAUAUUUUUUUGUUAAA